rnacentral:rRNA from 1 species
AUUGAACGCUGGCGGCAUGCUUUACACAUGCAAGUCGAACGGUAACAGGCCGCAAGGUGCUGACGAGUGGCGAACGGGUGAGUAAUGCAUCGGAACGUGCCCAGUCGUGGGGGAUAACGCAGCGAAAGCUGCGCUAAUACCGCAUACGAUCUAUGGAUGAAAGCGGGGGACCGUAAGGCCCCGUGCGCUUGGAGCGGCCGAUGUCAGAUUAGGUAGUUGGUGGGGUAAAGGCUCACCAAGCCAACGAUCUGUAGCUGGUCUGAGAGGACGACCAGCCACACUGGGACUGAGACACGGCCCAGACUCCUACGGGAGGCAGCAGUGGGGAAUUUUGGACAAUGGGCGCAAGCCUGAUCCAGCAAUGCCGCGUGCAGGAAGAAGGCCUUCGGGUUGUAAACUGCUUUUGUACGGAACGAAACGGUCCUGGUUAAUACCUGGGGCUAAUGACGGUACCGUAAGAAUAAGCACCGGCUAACUACGUGCCAGCCGCCGCAGUAAUAC